rnacentral:rRNA from 1 species
UACGUAGGGGGCAAGCGUUGUCCGGAUUUAUUGGGCGUAAAGAGCGUGUAGGCGGCUUGGUAGGUCUCGCGUCAAAACCUGAGGCUCAACCUCAGUUCGCGUGGGAAACCACCUAGCUAGAGUCCGGAAGAGGAGAACGGAAUUCCCAGUGUAGCGGUGAAAUGCGCAGAUAUUGGGAAGAACACCAGUGGCGAAGGCGGCUCACUGGACCGGAACUGACGCUGAGGCGCGAAAGCGUGGGGAGCAAACAGG